rnacentral:misc_RNA from 1 species
AAAAACAAAAAAAAAAAAAAAGCAUAUAUUUAACUAUGCAGGAGUCCACCAACUCAAUCACAUGUUACACUCGUAUUUUGUUUUCAGAUUCACAAAAUAUGCCAGUACCAUAGCUAUAGACUAGUUGCAUCCACCAUCAGACUACCAUCAUUAAAGUACAAAGCAUCUCAAAUUGGUCCAAUAUAGCUAUUGCAUCUACAUUUUUUAAAAAAUUUUAGUGUAGCUUCACCAACAGCAUUUCUGAAAUUAGCUCUUUCGAUCGCAAUUUCAAUCCAAAUAGCCCAAGCCAAAAUAUAAUGCAGAACAAUUUAUCGAGUUUGAAAUGGACCAGCAGAACUAGAAAGAUCAUAAACAGGGUUCAGGGCUACUGAUGUGAUGCCAUAGUAGUGAACUUGUUGAUUAAAUAGACAUGUCACAAACAAUUUUUCUAAUACUGUAGAUAGACCAUUUUGCCUUCAGAACUUGAAAAAAUACUCAUAGGUUUGCGUUAGAAUGCUAGUUGUGAUUGUGUCAUAAAAGUAUGCAUGUAAAUGCAUACUAAGAUUAUGCCAAUAACAAUGCUUAUGAAUAUGAAUGUAAAUAUGUAAAAAUACCAUUCUCAGUGUAUGACUAUCAGUAUUUAUAGAAGCAAAUGAGUCCUCUUCUUUUCUUCCUCUUUUUCUUCAUGGUAUCAGAUCCUAGGGUUUAAGUCUAUGCUCUUCUAUUUUUUUUUUCUUCCCUUCUCCCUAUUUCCCGAGAAACUUACUAACCUCUUUCAUCAACUAGUGUGUGAGGGUCAUUCAGUCUCACCACCCCUCCCGUUAGUUGUGCCAGAUGCCAGCAAGUCUCCAUCCAAAAGCUACAUCAAAGGAAACAGGAAACAGAAGUGUGUAGCUCCAUGCACCAUUCCAAGUUUUCUGACCUAGACUAGACCAAUAAACUGAUGCAUGAGUGAGCUUUUUACUGUCAUUUUCUGCUCCUGUCACCACCAGACACCUUGACCAGUUGAGUCGAUGCUAGGAUAGCCUCUUCUGGAAUCUGUCCUUUGGGUCUCUUGAUUUCUAAGAUUUCUCCUGUUGAAGGAAGUCUGUUCUGUUUGGGUCUGUUGAUCUGCUGGGCCUUCUUUAUAGCAAUCAUUUUGAGUCUCUACCUUUCCCCUAUUUCUACUGCACAGUGCUUUCGGGUUCUUGGGGUGCUAUAGAUUUAUUCUUGCAGUACCUUCUAGGUUCACAGCAGAUGGUCCCUUUUCUCUCCUUCCACAACAGAUUUGGUGUUGCAGUGUGACACAGCGUGAAGCGGCUCAACACAAUUUAUUUCAGCACAAGCAUCAUGAGCAGGCACUUCAUCCACUGCAUCCUCUCCUGGAACAAGAACUGUCUCACCAUCAUCCCACUCCUCCUCUAUAAAAGGGGCAUAACGAUUUCCAUUUGGUGGUCCUAUAUUAUUCUUGUGAAAUACUCUACACAGCACAUAUGAAUCGGUCUUCACCACAUGAAUAACAAACAAGCAACAACUGUGAGAUUACCAACACCAAAACAAAUAGCAAUGCACUUUGGUUGCUCAGAUAUUCAUAGGAAAACAACAACUAAAGCUGUAAUCUCUUCGCAUUUUUAAGACUCCAGAAUGCCACAAUUUCCUAUUCCACCCAGCUCAACAUGCUAAUUUGGAUAUCCAUUCAUAUCAGACAGCUUUACACAUAACAAGCCUAAAAAUUUCUCUAUCCACAAAACAAUACAAAAAACAAAUGAUAUUCAAACUUACAUUUUCUCUUCAUUCUCUAAACAUUCUAUGCAAGCAAAUAGAAACCUGCAUCACCAUAAACUAUUAAUAACAAUUCAGCCAACAGGCUCACCUGCAUGGCUCCAUUUUUUUCCAAUUCUUCAUCAACAAGCCGGUACUCAUGCAUAACCCAAUUGGUGCGCUGGCCCCCUGGGGCGCGCCCACUAUGAAAUACAAGCGUUUUCUUCAUUGCUAUGAGUUGGGAGUCCCGGCGGACCGCCCUGUCCUUGCCAGUGGCUUUCCAGUACCCUUUACCUGUAGCCCUAUUCAUUCUUGCUCCAUUCCCAUACUUCCUAUCCAAGGCACUAAAAAAAUACCAUUCUUGAUCUCUGCUUUUCAACCUUGACUUAUCUGCAAGGUCCCAAGGCUCGUUCUUGUAGAUAUCGACCUCAGCAAUAGCAUUAAAACGGACAGGUUUAUUAGAAACCUUCCGUUUCAAGUAGUAACUGACAAGCUCCUCAUCCGUGGGAUGAAAUCGAAAGCCAGGUGCCAAAGCCGUCGUUUUCAUCUUCCCUGCAGGUGCUACCGCAGCCGCGGGUGCCGGUGUCUGCGGCGUCGCAGAGGUUUCCCGACCCAUUGAAGAGGUGAGAGAAAGAGAAGAAAUGGAAAAGUGGGUUAGGGUUUUGUGGCCAUGAGAUGAAGAAGAGGAGGGAGGAAGAUAAGGGAAUAAUUGAUUGACAGUGAAGAAACAGAUGGGUACCUUCGAUUGCAAGCAAUUUGGUUGGGUUGCUCAGGCUUUUUUUGACUGUAAUAUUAAAAUUUUUGCCAUAUUAGGUAGAUUCAUUUUUGUGUGGAUUUUCUGUUAAAUUUUUUU